GCGUGUUUAGGAGGGGAUUUUCAAUGCCAAAGGGGGAUAAGCCCGAGCGCAAGUACGAUGCAUAUGGACUGCCGUUGGCGCUGCAGAUAUGGGUGUACGAGACUGUCCCCAUCUUGGCCAGUCGGUAUGCGAGGAGAGGAGAGAUACGCUAUCCUCGGAUGCAUCACUAGCGAGCACAAGACAAGCCGCUUGCCAGACAGUUAUCGGCUCUCCUCGACGAUCCUGAGCUUGAAGUUCUCACUGAAUUAGCACCGUCGAUCGAGGAGGAG